rnacentral:lncRNA from 1 species
AUGGCUGAGCUUUUAACAGAAGCACCUUGGUUCCUUCAUACUUGCUGCAGCGAGCACAGUGAUAUUCGGAUACCCAAAGGAGGAGGUAGUGGCAGUUCGCAAAAGAAGAUGAUCACUGCUGUCUGGAACUGGUCUGCUGUGGACGAAUUGAAGAGGCAAGUGAAUGCAGUAUUUUAUGCCGGCUUUGGAUGGGUUUUCUACCUGGACUUCUUUGUGUCUGACUUCCAUGUCUGCCCAUACAUCCGUUUGGAGAACAGCUUACAGCAGCAGAGCAGCCAGGAAGCAGCUCAGCUUCAGGACUUGCACACCAAACUUAAUAGGAUCAUUUACUACUGUGGAUUUCUUCCUAGAAGAAUUGACUGGCUUGUCCUUUGAAAUCUGCUAAAAAAUGACUACAGGCAGGCUGCCGUUUCCUCUCCUAGGGAAGCGAGGCCUCCCCAAGGCACCCGCCGCACCAAAACAGUGGGAUUAGAGCUGCCUACAGGCAGAGCAGGCAGCACAGAAUGCUCCCUGUGGCUGGGAUCCUGCUGGACAGAGUUUGGUGGCUGUGGCCAUACUGGAGAAGAGUCUCAGCACAUGGAAAUUGAUCUGAUUUGUCUCCAUAAAUUUCCAUACAUUUUUGCAUACAGCUGUGAGUGUGGCUCAGACCUGUAACCGAAGGUCCUGGUGACUCGGAAAGAGGUGAGGACUGUGGGCAGGGUUAUUCAUGCGUUGCCUGUCCACCAGGGAUGGGGACAAUAUCAAUAUCACACUAAUGACAAGGCUGUGAGUGCUCCGUGAGACAAGAGGUGAUUCAGCUAACCACAACAAAACAGUUUUAUGUAGAAAGUGUUAGCCUGUUGAAUUGGGGGAAAAUGUGUCACAGUAAUAUAAAGCCACAGCUGCUGUGGCAAUUUACCAAGGAAGUCAAAAACAGCAUCUUAGGUAAAUGGCUGGGGGCUAGCAUGGGGGAAGUCUAUUAGUAUGCUGUUGUCCCAGGGCAGGAGAAGAGCUUAGUGUGUGCUCAGUCUGCUUCUGGAUAUCGGGUGAAAGAGCCAGUCGUGUGCUAGGCNNNNNNNNNNNNNNNNNNNNNNNNNAGUUUGUUUGCUUCAGUGUCUUCAAUGAGAAUACAAAUGUCUGUGAAGAGGAGGAAUUAAAGUUUGCUUGCUCUAAUACAGCUAAUAGUCACUGGAAAUUUUCUAGCUACCCUUUACCCUCCAGUAUCUGAGUUUUGCCUUUAUCAGUUUAUUUAAAUGCCAGUAAAAUAUAAAAGCAAAGAUUUAAUUUCUUCUGGCCACAUGGUGUCUAAAGCUUUCCUCGCAGGUUCUCUGUGCUCACUGUAAUUGGCAGAGAUGCCAUCCUUCAUAUCCUGGAUUGGAGAUAGUAAAAUGAACCUGAACUGACAUGAGAGAGUGUAUCCGCAAUGAAAAAGUCCUGGAUCCCUGGGUUUAAGUUGUCAAAACUCCAAAACUCCUUCAGGGAUCUAAACAGCACUGCUUUGCUAAUACAUAUGUACACUAGGGUGUUCCUCCUCAAUUUUAUGUGGGGUUUCCACUUUUAUCCAGUGACAUGCGAAUACUAUAUAUAAUUCUCUUUUAUUCUUCUUUUGUACUGAAUACACGAAACAGGUAAAAUAGUAUGAACAAAAGUAAUCAUCUAGUCAUUUUACUGCAUCAUAUGCAAAAGCCAGCUGAUAUAUUCUAAGAUGCAGAACAAAAGAAAGGAGGAGGAGAAAGAUCGUUUCUAAAACUCUGAUUUCUCCAAAGAUCUGCCAACGUUUUUUUUCUUAAAGGAAGUUUGAUAUCAGUGCCUGUCAUGUCCACUACGUUUUGCCAGUGGAAAGGGCGGUACUGAUCCUUUGAUUUGAAAUUAAAUAGAUAUAUAAGGCUUCAGUUUUAAAAUAACAAGGUUUUUCACUGGUAAAGAAAUCUUGUUUCCUCUGUUCCUGCUCUCUGACAGUUGGUUGGCAGAGAAGGGAGGAAUAAUAAGUUUUAAUUAUAUCUCCCCAAACAAGCAGAUUUGAAAGCAAUGCAGGGAUUACAUGAGAAUAAAAUCCCUUCAAGCAUUAACUGUCGCUGGUAA